rnacentral:rRNA from 1 species
AUUGAACGCUGGCGGCAUGCCUUACACAUGCAAGUCGAACGGCAGCACGGGAGCAAUCCUGGUGGCGAGUGGCGAACGGGUGAGUAAAGUAUCGGAACGUGCCCAGUCGUGGGGGAUAACGUAGCGAAAGUUACGCUAAUACCGCAUACGAUCUAUGGAUGAAAGCGGGGGAUCGCAAGACCUCGCGCGAUUGGAGCGGCCGAUAUCAGAUUAGGUAGUUGGUGGGGUAAAGGCUCACCAAGCCGACGAUCUGUAGCUGGUCUGAGAGGACGACCAGCCACACGGGGACUGAGACACGGCCCAGACUCCUACGGGAGGCAGCAGUGGGGAAUUUUGGACAAUGGGCGAAAGCCUGAUUCAGCCAUGCCGCGUGCAGGAUGAAGGCCUUCGGGUUGUAAACUGCUUUUGUACGGAACGAAAAGGCUCUCUCUAAUACAGGGGGCUCAUGACGGUACCGUAAGAAUAAGCACCGGCUAACUACGUGCCAGCCGCCGCCGUAA